rnacentral:rRNA from 1 species
GACGGAGGAUGCAAGUGUUAUCCGGAAUCACUGGGCGUAAAGCGUCUGUAGGUGGUUUAAAAAGUCCACUGUUAAAGGUUGAAGCUUAACUUCAAAAAUGCUGUGGAAACUUUUAAACUAGAGUAUGGUAGGGGUAGAGGGAAUUCCCGGUGUAGCGGUGAAAUGCGUAGAGAUCGGGAGGAACAUCUGUGGCGAAGGCGGCCAUCUGGACCAGCACUGACACUGAGGCACGAAAGCGUGGGGAGCAAACAGG